CCCUUGUCUCAUCCCGCCCACACACGCGCGCGGCUCUCUCUCUCACCCUGUCUCAUCCUCUCUCACCUAGCGCUAGACCGAGCCGCCGCCACGCCACCGCGAGUCGAGCCGCUGCCACGACCGGGCCGCGCCUCCGCCGCACCACCGUGACCGGGCCGCGCCGCCGCGAGCGGGCUACGGCACCGCGACCGGGCCUCGCCGCCGCGAGCGGGCUACGGCACCGCGACCGGGCCUCGCCGCCGCCCGGCUCGCCAGCUCGGCCCCAACCUGCCCGGGCCGCGCCGCCACCGCGACCGGGUCGCGCCUCCGCCGCGCCAUCGCGAGCGAGCCUCGUCGCCGCCCUAGCUCUCCAGCUCGGCCCCAACCCGCCCCGGCUCGCCAGCUCGGCCCCGACCGCCCCUGCUCGGCCCCAACCUCAUCUCAUUAGUAUUCAGAGACACAACUAAUUGGUUUCAGUGUUUUAUAUUUUAGGCUCCUUCAGUCAACAAUCAAAACCAUCAUGACACUAUGCAAAAAUAUAGCUCAAAUCAAACCACACCAUCUAGCAAUUUGAAGACUGAAAAUAAACCUCUCUGUUCACGGGAAUCGAGUCACACAGCACAUGCUUCAAUUGCUCCAAACCAAACUGUUUCGAUAGUUUGUCCGUCUGACAACAUGCCUGCUGAAGUUGGUACAUCAGAGAUGCACCAGAUCAAUAGUUCUGAAAAUGCUACCCAGGAGACACAAAUUGAAAAUGUAGCUGAAAAAUCAGCAGAGGAUGGCUAUAAUUGGCGUAAAUAUGGACAAAAGCAUGUCAAGGGAAGUGAAAAUCCUAGAAGUUAUUACAAGUGCACGCAUCCUAAUUGUGAAGUUAAAAAGCUAUUAGAGCGUUCGCUUGAUGGCCAAGUUACUGAAGUUGUUUAUAAAGGGCGUCAUAAUCAUUCUAAGCCCCAACCAAAUAGAAGGUUAGCUGCUGGUGCAGUUCCUUCAAGCCAGGGUGAAGAAAGAUACGAUGGUGUGGCAACUAUUGAAGACAAGCCUUCAAAUAUUUAGACAAUUUUUCUGUAACCAAGUACAUUCAGCUGGCAUGAUUGACACUGUUCCGGGUCCAGCUAGCGAUGAUGAUGUUGAUGCUAGAGGUGGAAGAUCCUACCCUGGGGAUGAUGCUAAUGAUGAUGAUUUGGACUCGAAACGCAGCUAGGAAAAUGGAAUCUGCUGGUAUCGCCGCCGCCCCGGCUCGCCAGCUCGGCCCUGACCGCCCCGGCUCGCCGCCGCCGCACCACCGCCCCGGCUCCGCUAAGCUCGGCGUCGCCGCCGCCACACCAGCAGGCCGCGCCACCAGCAGGCCGCACCACCCCCAGCAGACCGCGCCUCCGCUCAGCUCGGCCUCGGCGCAAGCUCAGCUCACCACCGCCCCACUGCCCCAGCUCGGCCUCGGCGCCACCACCACCCAGCUCGGCCUCGGCUCGCCGUCCGCUGCCCAAGCUCGGCCUCGAUCGGCUCGCCAGCACCGCCGGCCUCGAUCGGCUCGCCAGCGCCACUUAUGUGAAUUUGUGAACUUAUGUAUUUCGACUUAUGUGAAUUUGUGAAUUUGCAGAUGUUGCCAUGGCUAGACCUUCUGACAUUAGGACAGUGCUGGCAUCCUAUCAAGGUCAUGAUGUUGCUGCUAAGUUUAUUGAGCGUUCAAAGGAACACCAGCGGCGUGUGCAGGAACAGAGCAAACUUGGGCGCUUAUGGCGACGGUGAUGGAUCCUGUAAG